UUCCUGAGCGUACCACUUGUAAAAGCCUUCUGAUUGGCCCUGACAUUACUCUUCUACCUAUUCUUGGAGAGAAUGAGUUCCCUUGCUCGGACGGAAGAAGUUCUAGACAUUAUCCUUUUGGGGCGGACACCAGAAAGCUAAGUUGAUACCACUAGUAAUCCAUCGGAACCGCUGUCGACCUAUAAGUAUUUUUUAAUUGCUAGUAGUGAUUAGAAGAAUAUAUAAAAUCUAUUUUCUUUAAUUUAGUCAGCCAAGACUGAGCCUUCUGUCCUUAAAUCAUACAGGUUUACUCUAAAACCCAAAAAGACAAGUUCUGGCUCCAUUAGAGUCUUUAAAAUGUGUGUGUGUGUGUGUGUGUGUGUGUGUGUGUGUGUGUGUGUGUGUGUUUAAAAUGUUAACAUUGAAGUGCCAUUAACCUUUACAAUUACUUACAACCUAUUGUAUAGACAUAUUUGUCAUCAAAGAAAAUGAAGCUACCAGAGUCACUAUAGAAUACAGAAGAGGCUGCUAAUAGGAGUCUUCAGAUAGAAACUGACAAGGCAAAACAUUUAUGCCAAGAGACUCAGAAAUGGAUUUGCAGGACUCAAGAAACCAAAUACUAACUGUAGGAAAGAAAAAGCAGGAUUUGUCUCCCCAGUGGCAGGCCCGAAGGCAAACAUGUCUGAUUGCUAAAGAAGUGAAAAUAUCCACGACACUUUCCUGUGCAUUGUUUCCGUCUCGACGCUGAGAUGCCAGCCUUGACACUGAGAUGCCCGCCUUGACACUGAGAUGCCAGCCUCGACACUGAGAUGCCAGCCUGUCCUGUUCCAAUGACAUGAAAAUCCAGUCUGGUGCUCAGCGAAGUUGCUGCUUCCAGAGUUAACCUCAGCCACUUUCCCAACUCGUGGGUACAGACUUCAGACGACGUGUAACCCACCGAGAACAAACUGUGGCCAUCACGGCGCUCAGAGGCCCUCGUGGCUCCUCAGUCCCGAAGAGUGAUGCUGGGGAAAUACCACAUGACCAGCAGGCUAGCAGAGGCUUAACACUUGAAACUCAGCUAGAAAUAUGACAGCACUUUAAGCUCUGCUUCUCACAACUGGUGACAGCUUUGUCUUAACUGCAAGCAUCCCAGCCCUCCAAGAAUUACUACCAUAAUAUUUAUUGAGCAAUAACAAUUGCUAACUGCACUUCAGAGUGUUGAAUCAUCAUCUUUACCCGGGAGAAUUGUAAUUUAAAUUCUCUAGGUCUACAGAAACGUAAGGAGAAAAGGCAAUGUUCUUGCUCUGCCCUUCUCGUUCUCCUCCUCCACAUGUAUUUCAUGAACAAUGCAAUAUGCCUCUGGAGAGUCAAAGCACCCCUCGACACUGAAUUAGGCACUCAGCAAAGAUGUAUGAACUUCAUCCGUGCUGAGAUGAUGGUGUUUGAGAUGUGACUUCCCAUAUAUGCUCCAAUUGAGUUAGUACAGCUUCUCAAGGUGAUUGACACUCAAACACUGUGAUGUAUGAUCAAAGAUGUAGCCAGGGCUGGUACUAGAAAAAAAAAUUGUGUAAGAACUGCAAAUAUAAAUUGCAGUUUCCUAAUAGUACCACCUCCCACUCUGUGUAUGUGAUGCCUUAUUCCACAGGGCUCCCUCCCACUCUUUUUCAGUCAAUCUCUACUAAACAGUCUGCUGGCAAUGAACUAAUUAAUGCAUUAUGUCUUAAAGUUCAUUUUUAUUUUAACUAUAAUACACGUAUGUAGUUUAAGAAAUAAAAUAUGGCAAAAAUCAGCCCCCAAGCCCACAGUUCCCCCAGCAUCUAUCCCUGACUCAUGAAGGAUAAUUAUCCAGGGAGAUUCUUGCCUCUCUCACAUCAGGCUCUUUAUCUUUAUUAGUCUAUCUGUUAUGACUUCCUCUUUCUUAUUUUACUGGGUUUUUUUCUGAUGAUAUGUUGGGGUGGAAUCCAAGACUGUACACAUGCUAAGAAAGCCUUUACCUCUGCAUCACAUCCCAGCCCCUACUUGCUUUAAAAAAAAAUAUUACAUUUAUUUAUUAUGUGUGCAUUUUGUGUGUGUGUGUGUGUGUGUGUGUGUGUGUGUGUGUGUGUGUGUGUGUGUGUGUACAUGCACACAUGCAUCGAAGGACAUUUUGUGGAAGUUAGUUCUCUCCCUCCGCCAUGUGGGUCCCAGGAAUUGAACUCAGAUCCUCAGAAUGGGUAGCAAAGCCCUUUACCUGAUGAGUCAUUUCACCUGCCCACAUCUUCAUUUUAAUAGACCAUAGCUCUCCCAUAUGAUUGAGGGGAGCAAUAACAUCCAAAAUCACCUAUACUCAAGAUAGAGAAUUUUAAUCUGGUGUUUUCUCUCUGAAUUUUUGUCGCAUUUCUCCAUUGUUUCAUAAUUUUUAGUACUUAGCAGACAGGAAAGCUGAGGGCCAAUGUAGUCAAUGGCAGGGUCAGACCUCAAGCUCAGAAUGUUAUUCUCCUACCAUAGCCAGCCUGUAGUCAGAAGUUCUUCUGUGUCCCACCUCGUCCCAUAGCUGCUCAGACCCAAGUAAACACACAGAGGCUUAUAUUACUUACAAACUGUAUGGCCUAUGGCAGGCCUCUUGCUAGCUCGCUCUUAUAUCUUAAAUUAACCCAUUUCUAUUAAUUUAUAUUUUGCCUUGUGUUCUGAGGCUUACCAAUCUGCUGGCAUGCUGUUCCUUGCACAGCAGGCUGGCAUCUCUCCAGACUCUGCCUUUCUCUUUCCUGUCUCUCUCCUUGGACUUCCUGCCUGCCUCUAAGCUGCCUUGCCAUAGGCCAAAGCAGCUUAUUUAUUAACCAAUGGGAGCAACAUAUAUUCACAGAAAGACAUCCCCCAGCACCAGGCUCUCUGUAAUAAAGUAGGGAAGGCUAAAAUGAGACUCAUGCUAGCAGGGUUCCCACUCUGAUAAGGGGUCAUUUGUAAUCUAAAGCUUGUGUUGAAGAAUUGUAUUGGAAACCAAAGCACAGGACAGGACCUCACAGCCAGGGGCAUAACUGCUGUUUUUUGUUUUGUUGUGUUUUGCUUGCUUGUUUGUUUGUUUUUCAAGACAGGGUUUCUCUAUGUAACUGCCCUGGCUGUCCUGGAAUUCCCUCUGUAGACCAGGCUGGCCUCUUUGAACUCAGAAAUGUUCACUUGCCUCUGCCUCCAAAGUGCUGGAAUUAAAGGUGUGUUCCACCACUGCCUGGCCUAUAACUGCUCCUUUAUACACUUUAUUCAGUGUAUCAAGUUGAAAACAUGCUCUACGGUUUUUGAGAUUACAGAAAUUGGGUGUUGGGACACAAUUCUCCGUGGGUCACUCAUUACUGCACAUCUUGCCAGGAGGAGCACUGACCAUCUUUGUUCCAGACUGUCUUUUGAAGGAUGCAUGUGUCACAAACAACCAUGGGAGAUACAGGUAGUAUCUGGCUCUAGAUCAAAGGGAAGGCUAGCAUUAGCCCAGGAACAUAGAGACGUUGUCUCCUGGAGCAGACAUGUGCUCUAGACCUUUCAAUUGAUUUGGCUCAACAAACUCAGGGUUCCUGUAAUACUCUCCACCACAGGUACAAGUAUUGUCUGGUACAUUUUUGUCUGGGUUGGUCUUCAAUUUGGUUCUAUCAAUCAGUGUGUCUGUGUCUGGUUUUGUGCCAAUAUCAUGCUGUUUUUAUUACUAUAGCUUUGUAGUAUAUCUAGAAAUCGAGGAUGGUCACACCUCCAGCAAUUCUUUUAUUAUUCAGGAUUCUUUUAGCUAUCCCGGGUUUUUGUGUUCCCAUCUGAAGCUGAAAAUUGUUCUUUCAAUGUCUGUGAAGAAUUGUAGUGGAAUUUUGAUGGGGAUUGCAUCGCAAGCACCUUUUAAAACUCACAGAAUAACUUAGCUUUCAAAAAGGAUGGGGCAAUUUGAAAAAGUUUGUGUUGGGCUGUUGCCUUCCAAAAUCACCCUGCCUUAGCAAUCGCCUAAGGAAGCCACAGGAAGGUUCUGGAGUGGACCCAAACAGAACUAUAACAAAUUCAUGAUGGGGAGGUAAUAAAGGUGACAGAACCCAAGCCGUGAAUUCAGACAACUGUUGUUAAGUUCUGGCUCCUUUCUGACCAUUCACAAAGCACAAGGCAGAUGUCUUCUCAUCUCUCAGCUCAACCUCCAUGUCUGAAACCGCCUGUGGUAAAACCCAACAAUACUGUUUUGAAGACUACACCCUAAUGUUUUGUGCAACAUGCUGCAUAAAUAAAGGAUUCAUAAUAAGUAUUUGUUGUCUAAAUUGCAGAGGGUCUGGACCAGUAUCUGGCCGUAUUAGCUACCUGUUUUGUUACUGUGACAAAACAUUCUGACAAAAGCCACUUAAAGAAGGAAGGGCUCAUUUGGGCUCCCAGUUGCAGAGGACAGCCCACCAUGGCCUGGAAGUCAUGGCCACAGGAGCUUCGGGCUGCUGACCAUAUUGUCUCAGAUGAAUGCAGUGUUCAGCUCCCUUCUCCUUCCAUCCUUGGAUCAUGGGAUGGUGCUUAUCACAAUUAAGGUGGGUGUUCCCUUAAUUGUGGUUAAAUAUCACAAUUAAUAAAUUAAUAAACUAAUCCCCCACAGGCAUGCCCAGAGCCUUGACUCCUAGGUGAUUCUAUGUCC